rnacentral:rRNA from 1 species
UGGGGGAUAUUGCACAAUGGGCGAAAGCCUGAUGCAGCGACGCCGCGUGGGGGAUGAAGGCCUUCGGGUUGUAAACUUCUUUUGCUCUGAACAAGGCAUGCUAAUGGGUGCGUUGAGUGUAGGGGUUGAUUAGCGCCGGCUAACUACGUGCCAGCAGCCGCGGUAAUACGUAGGGCGCGAGCGUUGUCCGGAAUUAUUGGGCGUAAAGGGCUUGUAGGUGGCUGGUUGCGUCUGUCGUGAAAGCUCAUGGCUUAACUGUGGGUUUGCGGUGGGUACGGGCUGGCUUGAGUGCAGUAGGGGAGGCUGGAAUUCCUGGUGUAGCGGUGGAAUGCGCAGAUAUCAGGAGGAAUACCGGUGGCGAAGGCGGGUCUCUGGGCUGUUACUGACACUGAGGAGCGAAAGCAUGGGGAGCGAACAGG